rnacentral:rRNA from 1 species
GACGAACGCUGGCGGCGCGCCUAACACAUGCAAGUCGAACGAGCGAGAGAGAGCUUGCUUUCUCGAGCGAGUGGCGAACGGGUGAGUAACGCGUGAGGAACCUGCCUCAAAGAGGGGGACAACAGUUGGAAACGACUGCUAAUACCGCAUAAGCCCACGACCCGGCAUCGGGUAGAGGGAAAAGGAGCAAUCCGCUUUGAGAUGGCCUCGCGUCCGAUUAGCUAGUUGGUGAGGUAACGGCCCACCAAGGCGACGAUCGGUAGCCGGACUGAGAGGUUGAACGGCCACAUUGGGACUGAGACACGGCCCAGACUCCUACGGGAGGCAGCAGUGGGGAAUAUUGCACAAUGGGGGGAAACCCUGAUGCAGCGACGCCGCGUGGAGGAAGAAGGUCUUCGGAUUGUAAACUCCUGUUGUUGAGGAAGAUAAUGACGGUACUCAACAAGGAAGUGACGGCUAACUACGUG